rnacentral:lncRNA from 1 species
GACGGUGAGUUGGCCUACAUAAGGGAUAUUGGAGUGAAGCAUGGAUACACCGAACCAUGGCUGGGGGACAUAUACAAUGGGGUGGGGAGUGAUAUAAUGCGACCUAGGAGUGGUAUGCAGGAAAGGAGGGAUUUUUUACCUGUGCCACACCGUCUGGCGGGACUGAGCCUUGUGGGGGGGAUGGCUGGGAGGAGCGGGAGGGCAGUGGCACACGAGAGAGGUCCCACGCUGUUUAGUGCUUUGCGGAACGAGAGGGAUAGACGAGAGCAAAGUGGGAGAGGGGGUGUUUGUAGGGUCCCCCUAAUGGAUAGUAGUACGUCGGAGCGGUUGGAAUGUGUAGGUGUGGCGGCGGGGACAAUGGCGGGGCGACUGGAGGAGCAUAAAAGGGAU